rnacentral:rRNA from 1 species
GAUGAACGCUAGCGGCAGGCUUAACACAUGCAAGUCGAGGGGUAUUGGUUUUCGGACCAAGAGACCGGCGCACGGGUGCGUAACGCGUAUGCAAUCUACCUUUUGCAGAGGGAUAGCCCAGAGAAAUUUGGAUUAAUACCUCAUAGUAUAGUACUUUGGCAUCAAGGAACUAUUAAAGUCACAACGGCAAAAGAUGAGCAUGCGUCCCAUUAGCUAGUUGGUAAGGUAACGGCUUACCAAGGCUACGAUGGGUAGGGGUCCUGAGAGGGAGAUCCCCCACACUGGUACUGAGACACGGACCAGACUCCUACGGGAGGCAGCAGUGAGGAAUAUUGGACAAUGGGCGCAAGCCUGAUCCAGCCAUGCCGCGUGCAGGAUGACGGUCCUAUGGAUUGUAAACUGCUUUUAUACAGGAGAACACUCCGACGUGUCGGAGCUUGACGGUACUGUAAGAAUAAGGAUCGGCUAACUCCGUGCCAGCAGCCGCGGUAAAG